GUGGGGAAUAUUGGACAAUGGGCGAAAGCCUGAUCCAGCCAUGCCGCGUGUGUGAAGAAGGUCUUCGGAUUGUAAAGCACUUUAAGUUGGGAGGAAGGGCAGUAAGUUAAUACCUUGCUGUUUUGACGUUACCGACAGAAUAAGCACCGGCUAACUUCGUGCCAGCAGCCGCGGUAAUACGAAGGGUGCAAGCGUUAAUCGGAAUUACUGGGCGUAAAGCGCGCGUAGGUGGUUUUGUAAGUUGGAGGUUAAAUCCCCGGGCUCAACCUGGGAACUGCCUCCAAAACUGCAUGACUAGAGUACGGUAGAGGGUAGUGGAAUUUCCUGUGUAGCGGUGAAAUGCGUAGAGAUAGGAAGGAACACCAGUGGCGAAGGCGACUACCUGGACUGAUACUGACACUGAGGUGCGAAAGCGUGGGGAGCAAACAGGAUUAGAUACCCCAGUAGUCC
rnacentral:rRNA from 1 species